AUCCCGUAGGAUCUACUACACCUUUCUGUCCCCCUUUCCUAACUCUGCCGGCGUUAGUGCUCUGCCCAGGCGAGCACCGAACAGAAAGUUAAAAGGGGCUUCAUGAAACCCGGUUCCUGUCCUCCUGUCACGACGAAACAGCUUGUACUAGGCGGCCUCAAAAAUCUGAAUUGCCACAAGGAUAUGGAUUGUGAUCUCAUUGAAAAAUGUUGCUUGGUUCCUGGUGGGUUAUCUUGUGUUCAGCCAAAGUUCUGAUCGGAUAACUGAGAAAGUCAAGGUUAAAUGACAGUUCCAGAAGAUUCGAUUGCCUCGGAGAUAACCAUGGUUCAGAAUGAGCACACACAGUGGCCGCAGCCUUGUUUCCAGAAGACUGUGUCGAUUUAUAAAUUGAUUUGCUGUCUGUGAUGGUAGAGAUUGUUGAUCCUUCAGAAUAAA